rnacentral:tRNA from 1 species
UCCCUGGCAGUCUAGCAGUAAAGAGCCUGCGCUUCCAAUGCAGGGGACACAGGUUCAAUCCCUGAUUGGGGAA